GAGUUUGAUCAUGGCUCAGGACGAACGCUGGCGGUGUGCUUCACACAUGCAAGUCGAACGGGGUAGCAAUACCCAGUGGCGGACGGGUGAGUAACACGUGGGAAUCUACCAUAAAGGUGGGGAAUAACAGGCCGAAAGGUCUGCUAAUGCCGCAUAUGUAGGCAUCUCGACAGAGGUGUUUAUGAAAGGAGUAAUCCGCCUUUUGAUGAGCCCGCGUCCGAUUAGCUAGUUGGUAGGGUAAAAGCCUACCAAGGCGACGAUCGGUAGGUGGUCUGAGAGGAUGAUCACCCACAAUGGGACUGAGACACGGCCCAUACUCCUACGGGAGGCAGCAGUGGGGAAUUUUACGCAAUGGGGGAAACCCUGACGUAGCGACACCGCGUGAGCGAAGAAGCCCUUUGGGGUGUAAAGCUCUGUCAACAGGAACGAAAUCAAUGACGGUACCUGUGGAGGAAGCAUCGGCUAACUACGUGCCAGCAG
rnacentral:rRNA from 1 species